UUACAGCGCAGCUGGUGCAUCACCAGGGGAUUCUCCAUGGCCCCAGGAGUCUUGGUCUCGUUGGGGAUGAUGCAGCGCACAAAGUGAGGUGACCUUGUCUCCAUCUCGGCUGGUGAUGGUCGCCUUCACAAACUCCUCCACUUGAUCUGGGACAAAACAUUCCUUCUUGAUGUCGAAGGUACGCGUGGAUGCCUCCAUGCGCUCCCUGUCCGACUUCCUCAGAUUACCAGGGAGAAGCAGUGGUGUGGUCUACGUGCCAUGCAGUCUGCGGACCCUCUGAGGACACGUGGAUGCAGAACGAAUGACCCGGCCCGUCCUCUCUCUCUGUGAUGAACAGGUGUUGCAUUCCUGCUCUUGUUUGCGCGCCAUCCUGCUUUCAAAGUCAAUGUGUCUUGCAAUGUUUUAACGUGAAGUAAUGGUCAAAUAAU